GCCAGCGCUCAGUCAGCUGUCCAGGUGCCGUGUCUGGCUCAGUGUUACAGCGCUGGUAGAGAAAGUCUCUGUAGUGGCUCUCAGCUCUGCAGGCUCUGUUUUAGAGUGUGCUGCUGUUGAGCUGCUGCAGAGCCUGGCCCAACGAGAGUGGCCUGUCCUGAUCCCCAGCAGGGCCGGCCUAGUGACGGGCCGCACAUU
ensembl:snoRNA SNORA74 Small nucleolar RNA SNORA74